UACAGAGGGUGCGAGCGUUAAUCGGAAUGACUGGGCGUAAAGGGCAUGUAGGCGGUUAUGUUAGUCUGAUGUGAAAUACCCGGGCUUAACCUGGGAUAUGCAUUGGAAACGGCAUAGCUAGAGUAUGGGAGAGGGAAGUGGAAUUUCCGGUGUAGCGGUGAAAUGCGUAGAGAUCGGAAAGAACACGCGUGGCGAAGGCGGCUUUCUGGCCCAUAACUGACGCUGAGGUGCGAAAGCGUGGGGAGCGAACAGG
rnacentral:rRNA from 1 species